GGACUGGGAGUUUGGAUUUAAUAGAUGGAAACUAUUAUAUUUAGAAUGGAUGAACAAUGAGGUCCUACUGUACAGCACAGGGAACUCUGUCUAAUCUCUUGGGAUAGACAUGAUGGAAGAUAAUAUGAGGAAAUUAGUAUAUGUAUGUGUUUGACUGGGUCACUAUGCUGUACAGCAGAAAUUGACCCAACCCUGUAAAGCAACUAAUCAAAAUAAAUUUUAAAAAAGUUUAUAGUGUAUAUAGUCUGUUAAUAGAAUAAAUAUGUAUGAUCUAUAAAUAUUCAGACAGUAGAGAUGUGUACUUAAAACCUUUAUUAGCACAGAGCAUGUAAAGUAGAUGAAAUCAGACCUUCACAGUGCCUUUGCUGGCUACUGCUCAUGUGCUCAUCAUAGCAUGAUGCUUUAAAGACUAUCUGUCCCCUUUUCUUCAUUGGGUAGGAUGACCAAAAUUUCCAUUUCCUUGUUCUAGGUUCCAGGAUGGAAAGGGGAUGAGGAUUGGGAAGGACAAAACAUUGUCUUCUAGCUGGCAUGUUUUUAAUUAUUUUUAAGGAAGGAAAAUAAGUUUGAAGGUACCAUCCCUACCUGCUCACACUGGCCCCUUCUAUGAAAAAGAUGCCAUUAUGGAGGUGCCAUAUUGGUUCAGAGGAUGACCAGAAGAUGUAGCUAAAAGUAUCCUCAGAAAGUGAAACUCCUGGGCAGAACCACAAAUAAAACAACGUAACUGUCAUUUAUUCCACACUUGCCCUGCUGCCAAGUGCCGUCCUCAAUUCCUCAUGUCGGUUCCUAAAAUGGUUCUGUGUUAGUUUGAGAUAUUAUGCUCGUUCUCUCAGAUGGUGACACUGAGCCCUCGAGGGAAUAAAUGACUUGUCCAAGGACCCAGAGCUGCAAUAAGUGAUUUCAACCCACUUAGACCAGAAUGUUGGGUCUGUACUCAGAACCAUCAUAGUCUAUGGUCUUCUGUGUCCUAGUCAGCUCAGAGUGCCAUACAUGCUCUUGCUCUUGCAUGCACUGUGUGUGUGUGUGUGUGUGUGUGUAAGAGAGAGAAUAGAGUCUCUCUGUUUAUAGGGAGGCUGGACAUCUACUGUGUUUGUCCAUUUUCUUCUAAAAGACAUCUUGGUGUCAUCAUUCCAUAGCAAACCACCUACUCAAAGGCAGGUCAGAAUUGUGAGAGACUGUGACAGUGUUUAUGUAGUUUUAUAAAAGUCUUUGGAUUUCGAAACCUUAGCCAGGGUUUUGGACUUCUGAUCAUAGUAAAUAAUUUAGCCUAGUGAAGGAUGUGAUAAUUGGUCCCUCAGUAACAGUUCACCCACUUUUUAGCAUGUAACUUCAAUGCUGCAAAAGUAGCAUGCACUACACAUCACCUGUAUUUUUUAUAAACAAAUAGGAGCUGUUUUAAAGUUCUGUGUCCAUUUGUGUGGUUCUCUUGUACUCUUUUAAUGGUGACAUAAUUCUUCAUGCAUUCAACAAACAUUUACAGUGUGCCUGUUACGUGCCCAGAACUGUUCUGGGUAUAGGGUCUCUGCCUUUAUGGGCUUACAUUUUGGUAAUGGAAAUGGACAAUAAAUUCACUUAAGAUCAAUCUUUUUUUUUUUUAAUUUUCCCACUGUACAGCAAGGGGGUCAGGUUAUCCUUACAUGUAUACAUUACAAUUACAGUUUUUCCCCCACCCUUUGUUCUAUUGCAGCAUGAGUAUCUAGACAAAGUUCUCAAUGCUAUUCAGCAGGAUCUCCUUGUAAAUCUAUUCUAAGUUGUGUCUGAUAAGCCCAAGCUCCCGAUCCCUCCCACCCCCUCCCCUCCCAUCAGGCAGCCACAAGUCUCUUCUCCAAGUCCAUGAUUUUCUUUUCUAAGGAGAUGUUCAUUUGUGCUGGAUAUUAGAUUCCAGUUAUAAGUGAUAUCAUAUGGUAUUUGUCUUUGUCUUUCUGGCUCAUUUCACUCAGGAUGAGAGUCUCUAGUUCCAUCCAUGUUGCUGCAAAUGGCAUUAUGUCAUUCUUUUUUAUGGCUGAGUAGUAUUCCAUUGUGUAUAUAUACCACCUCUUCCGAAUCCAAUCAUCUGUCGAUGGACAUUUGGGUUGUUUCCAUGUCCUGGCUAUUGUGAAUAGUGCUGCAAUGAACAUGCAGGUGCAUGUGUCUCUUUUAAGUAGAGUUUUGUCUGGAUAGAUGCCCAAGAGUGGGAUUGCAGGGUCAUAUGGAAGUUUUAUGUAUAGAUUUCUAAGGUAUCUCCAAACUGUUCUCCAUAGUGGCUGUACAAGUUUACAUUCCCACCAACAGUGCAGGAGGGUUCCCUUUUCUCCACAGCCCCUCCAGCACUUGUUAUUUGUGGAUUUAUUAAUGAUGGCCAUUCUGACUGGUGUGAGGUGAUAUCUCAUGGUAGUUUUGAUUUGCAUUUCUCUUAUAAUCAGCGAUGUUGAGCAAUCUUUGAUAUUUUUGUAAUUCACAAAGCAAUGAACAUCCUUGUGGAUGCCUCUUUUCUCUUAUGUGCAAAUAUGUUGUUGUAAAAUAACUUUAUAAGAUUGCAAAAUUGUGGCUUAUGCGUAAGAAAUAAACACCUCCCAGUUGUUUGUCUUCAUGAAGUAUAAGGCCCUGUCAGGCUGUAAGACUUUUCUAGUUCUCAGAUGCAACAUCUCAAAGAAUUUCAGGGCAGAGGGCUAGGAGAUGGAGAAUGAGAUGGGUCACAGUGCCAGGCUGGCCAGGUAACCUUACCUGGUCAUCUAUCCCAGUUCCAAGGAACCUCUUUCCCUCCUCAUCCCUCUCCCUGCUGAUAUUAAUGCCAAACUGGCUGCAGAACAAGCAAUGUUAUUGUUACCUCCCUUGGCCCUUGUCAUAUUUUAUUCUGAGCCUGAGGUUUUGCCAGUUGUUAGUAGCUAACAGGUAUAAAAAUAGCCUGUGUAUUGUAAUGAAGGACAUAAAAAUGCAAAGAGAGUUGUGGGCUCUCCAAGCUGGCCUGCUACCCUUUGCAGCAUUUGCUGCUGAUAUUGACCACAGCAUAAUAAAACUUUAGGGAGGAAAAGAAGGACGGAAGAGAGUGCCUGGAUGACAAAUGAUAGGUCAGUUUUGCCCUUUGAAGAGUUGGGGAAGACCCUGAGAGAUUUUAUAAUCAAGCUCUUGUUUAUCCCCCAGCCUCUCCCUUGAGAAAUAGCUAUCUGGAUCUUUUCUUUCCUUUGGAGUAAGGAGGCAGUUUUAUCUUCCCUGGAGGAUGUUUAGCUUUAUAGGGAAGCUAGCUUUUCUUAUUGUGCUGACACGAUGUGGGGAUGAUGAAGGAGCAAUUGAUCAUUCACAUCUCCAAUUAUCUGUAUCUCACUUGUGCUGUGGAUGAGGCCCUGUGUUGUCACCAGACACAAAGAAAACACAUGUGGUUCCUGGUCUCAUAGAAUUGUAGUCUGACCUGUGCGAUAGAUGUUAAGCAUACAGUUGAAUAUGUAGUAAAGGAAGCAUUGGACUGGGAUGUGUUAAUUGAAAGAAAAUAAUAGGUUGGUAUGAGAGAGGGAAAAAAGAGGGGAAAGCAUCAGGUUAGAAUAUCAGGAAAGGUGGCAAUCAUGAGAAGAAAAAUAAGAACAUUCUGGCAGAGGGGGUGGGGUAUGUAUGUAUGAAAAGACUAAGACGGGAGAAGAACAGAAAGAAGGGUAGUGUAUCUGAUGUGUAGGGAGCAAGGGAGAAAGUGGCAACAAAUAACGUGGUUGGGUGAAGGGUAAGCCCUUCUUGUAUAGAUUCUUUGAACUAUGAAAUGAACUGCGGGCUCUUUCCAAAGCAAUGGGACAUAAUUAAAGAGUUUAAGAGACAAGACUGGCAUCAAUGGCAUGACAUAACUCCCCAAGGUUCCUCUGGCUGUUCUUGCUUAUACAGCUUGGAGUGGGACAAGGGUGGACUCAAGGCAAGUACCUAGAAAGCUCUCACCACGUGAGAGAUGGUGAGGGUGCAAUCUGAUAGGAUGGUAAAGGACAUGGAAACAAAGAGGGUAAACUCAAACUCGUUUUUUCAGGCAAAAUCCAAAAGACUUUGGUGAUGGAUUGGAGGUCAGGACUGAAUAGGAAGGAGACCUUGUGGGACAGGGAACUCAAAUCACUGUUAUUUUAGUGAAGUAAUUCUUGGUGCAGAGAUUUUGCGGUGAUUUCACAAGUACCUUUCAAAUCUAUCUUCUUGGAAAUUGUAGGGUUGUUUUUUUCUUUUCCACUUACAUUUUUCCUGGAAAUAUAACCAGAGUGCAAUAUAGUUAACUUUUCAAAGGUUAUCAGUGAUACAGACUCAACAUUCCACUCUAGUGUCCUUUCCAUGGUCAAGUUGCUUGCCUUUGAUUUUUUGUUGUUUGUUUUGUUUUGUUUUGUUUUCACAUUGAAAAUGGAUUACCAUGGCAGACACUGAGUUUUCAUCUUGAGGACUAUCACAGAUUUCUCAAUAUAAACUAGAUUAGUCUUCUACAACUGGAAGCAGUUUUGUUUGGAGAAUAUUAAAUUAGGCCGGUGGUUUUCAAGAGGAGGUAGUUUUGUCCUUGGUGGACAUCUGAUAAUGUCUGAGGUUAAUUAUCACACCAGAAGCGGUGCUAAUAUAUUUACUAGGAAGAGGUCAGAAAUGCUGCUAAACAUCCUUCAAUCCACAGCAUACUCCCCACAACAAAGAACUAUUCAGUCCAAAUGUAGUGCUAAGGCUGAGAUAACCUGACAUAGAAGGAUGUUCACUAGCUUAGCCUGUAUCAGUGAUUAUAUCCCAUUAAGGGCAGGGUAUGAAACACAGAAGGUUCUAAUUCCUUUUAAGUAUCCAGAAACCUGCAACAUUGCCUAGAGUGCUCCAUUCUCUAGCCUUUAUACUUUAAAUAAAAAAAUUUGUGUGGGAAAUCAACUAUAGAGCUGUGGACUCUACUAAUGAAAAUUUAAAUGCUCAAUUAAUAGCUUCUGUUUCAGGAGUUACCAUUGUGGUGCAGCAGAAACGAAUUCGACUAGGAACCAUACGUUUGCAGGUUCGAUCCCUGGCCUCCCUCAGUGGGUUAGGGAUCAGGCGUUGCCAUGAGCUGUGGUGUAGGUCGAAGACACAGUUGGAAUCUGAGGUUGCUGUGGCUGUGGUGUAGGCUGGCAGCUACAGCUCUGAUUAGACCCCUAGCCUGGGAACCUCCAUAUGCCACGGGCGUGGCCCUAAAAAUACAAAAG
rnacentral:lncRNA from 1 species